UGGGGAAUUUUGGACAAUGGGCGAAAGCCUGAUCCAGCAAUGCCGCGUGUGUGAAGAAGGCCUUCGGGUUGUAAAGCACUUUUGUCCGGAAAGAAAUGGCUCUGGUUAAUACCUGGGGUCGAUGACGGUACCGGAAGAAUAAGGACCGGCUAACUACGUGCCAGCAGCCGCGGUAAUACGUAGGGUCCAAGCGUUAAUCGGAAUUACUGGGCGUAAAGCGUGCGCAGGCGGUUGGGCAAGACCGAUGUGAAAUCCCCGAGCUUAACUUGGGAAUUGCAUUGGUGACUGCACGGCUAGAGUGUGUCAGAGGGGGGUAGAAUUCCACGUGUAGCAGUGAAAUGCGUAGAGAUGUGGAGGAAUACCGAUGGCGAAGGCAGCCCCCUGGGAUAACACUGACGCUCAUGCACGAAAGCGUGGGGAGCAAACAGG
rnacentral:rRNA from 1 species